CCUACGGGAGGCAGCAGUGGGGAAUUUUGGACAAUGGGGGCAACCCUGAUCCAGCCAUUCCGCGUGAGUGAAGAAGGCCUUCGGGUUGUAAAGCUCUUUUGUCGGGGACGAAACGGUUACGAUUAAUACUCGUGACAACUGACGGUACCCGAAGAAUAAGCACCGGCUAACUACGUGCCAGCAGCCGCGGUAAUACGUAGGGUGCGAGCGUUAAUCGGAAUUACUGGGCGUAAAGCGUGCGCAGGCGGUUUUGUAAGCCAGAUGUGAAAUCCCCGGGCUUAACCUGGGAAUGGCAUUUGGGACUGCAAGGCUAGAGUAUGGCAGAGGAGACUAGAAUUUCUGGUGUAGCAGUGAAAUGCGUAGAUAUCAGAAGGAAUACCGAUGGCGAAGGCAGGUCUCUGGGUCAAUACUGACGCUCAUGCACGAAAGCGUGGGGAGCAAACAGGAUUAGAUACCCUGGUAGUCCACGCCCUAAACGAUGUCAACUGGUUGUUGGGAGAUUUAUUCUCUUAGUAACGAAGCUAACGCGUGAAGUUGACCGCCUGGGGAGUACGGUCGCAAGAUUAAAAACUCAAAAGGAAUUGACGGCUGAGAGNGCGAGACGACACGAGGGAGAG
rnacentral:rRNA from 1 species